rnacentral:rRNA from 1 species
UUAAGCGACUAAGCGUACACGGUGGAUGCCCUGGCAGUCAGAGGCGAUGAAGGACGUGCUAAUCUGCGAUAAGCGUCGGUGAGGUGAUAUGAACCGUUAUAACCGGCGAUUUCCGAAUGGGGAAACCCAGUGUGUUUCGACACACUAUCAUUAACUGAAUCCAUAGGUUAAUGAGGCGAACCGGGGGAACUGAAACAUCUAAGUACCCCGAGGAAAAGAAAUCAACCGAGAUUCCCCCAGUAGCGGCGAGCGAACGGGGAGGAGCCCAGAGCCUGAAUCAGUGUGUGUGUUAGUGGAAGCGUCUGGAAAGGCGCGCGAUACAGGGUGACAGCCCCGUACACAAAAAUGCACAUAUUGUGAGCUCGAUGAGUAGGGCGGGACACGUGGUAUCCUGUCUGAAUAUGGGGGGACCAUCCUCCAAGGCUAAAUACUCCUGACUGACCGAUAGUGAACCAGUACCGUGAGGGAAAGGCGAAAAGAACCCCGGCGAGGGGAGUGAAAAAGAACCUGAAACCGUGUACGUACAAGCAGUGGGAGCCUCUUAAUGGGGUGACUGCGUACCUUUUGUAUAAUGGGUCAGCGACUUAUAUUCUGUAGCAAGGUUAACCGAAUAGGGGAGCCGGAGGGAAACCGAGUCUUAACUGGGCGUUAAGUUGCAGGGUAUAGACCCGAAACCCGGUGAUCUAGCCAUGGGCAGGUUGAAGGUUGGGUAACACUAACUGGAGGACCGAACCGACUAAUGUUGAAAAAUUAGCGGAUGACUUGUGGCUGGGGGUGAAAGGCCAAUCAAACCGGGAGAUAGCUGGUUCUCCCCGAAAGCUAUUUAGGUAGCGCCUCGUGAAUUCAUCUCCGGGGGUAGAGCACUGUUUCGGCAAGGGGGUCAUCCCGACUUACCAACCCGAUGCAAACUGCGAAUACCGGAGAAUGUUAUCACGGGAGACACACGGCGGGUGCUAACGUCCGUCGUGAAGAGGGAAACAACCCAGACCGCCAGCUAAGGUCCCAAAGUCAUGGUUAAGUGGGAAACGAUGUGGGAAGGCCCAGACAGCCAGGAUGUUGGCUUAGAAGCAGCCAUCAUUUAAAGAAAGCGUAAUAGCUCACUGGUCGAGUCGGCCUGCGCGGAAGAUGUAACGGGGCUAAACCAUGCACCGAAGCUGCGGCAGCGACGCUUAUGCGUUGUUGGGUAGGGGAGCGUUCUGUAAGCCUGCGAAGGUGUGCUGUGAGGCAUGCUGGAGGUAUCAGAAGUGCGAAUGCUGACAUAAGUAACGAUAAAGCGGGUGAAAAGCCCGCUCGCCGGAAGACCAAGGGUUCCUGUCCAACGUUAAUCGGGGCAGGGUGAGUCGACCCCUAAGGCGAGGCCGAAAGGCGUAGUCGAUGGGAAACAGGUUAAUAUUCCUGUACUUGGUGUUACUGCGAAGGGGGGACGGAGAAGGCUAUGUUGGCCGGGCGACGGUUGUCCCGGUUUAAGCGUGUAGGCUGGUUUUCCAGGCAAAUCCGGAAAAUCAAGGCUGAGGCGUGAUGACGAGGCACUACGGUGCUGAAGCAACAAAUGCCCUGCUUCCAGGAAAAGCCUCUAAGCAUCAGGUAACAUCAAAUCGUACCCCAAACCGACACAGGUGGUCAGGUAGAGAAUACCAAGGCGCUUGAGAGAACUCGGGUGAAGGAACUAGGCAAAAUGGUGCCGUAACUUCGGGAGAAGGCACGCUGAUAUGUAGGUGAAGCGACUUGCUCGUGGAGCUGAAAUCAGUCGAAGAUACCAGCUGGCUGCAACUGUUUAUUAAAAACACAGCACUGUGCAAACACGAAAGUGGACGUAUACGGUGUGACGCCUGCCCGGUGCCGGAAGGUUAAUUGAUGGGGUUAGCGGUAACGCGAAGCUCUUGAUCGAAGCCCCGGUAAACGGCGGCCGUAACUAUAACGGUCCUAAGGUAGCGAAAUUCCUUGUCGGGUAAGUUCCGACCUGCACGAAUGGCGUAAUGAUGGCCAGGCUGUCUCCACCCGAGACUCAGUGAAAUUGAACUCGCUGUGAAGAUGCAGUGUACCCGCGGCAAGACGGAAAGACCCCGUGAACCUUUACUAUAGCUUGACACUGAACAUUGAGCCUUGAUGUGUAGGAUAGGUGGGAGGCUUUGAAGUGUGGACGCCAGUCUGCAUGGAGCCGACCUUGAAAUACCACCCUUUAAUGUUUGAUGUUCUAACGUUGGCCCGUAAUCCGGGUUGCGGACAGUGUCUGGUGGGUAGUUUGACUGGGGCGGUCUCCUCCUAAAGAGUAACGGAGGAGCACGAAGGUUGGCUAAUCCUGGUCGGACAUCAGGAGGUUAGUGCAAUGGCAUAAGCCAGCUUGACUGCGAGCGUGACGGCGCGAGCAGGUGCGAAAGCAGGUCAUAGUGAUCCGGUGGUUCUGAAUGGAAGGGCCAUCGCUCAACGGAUAAAAGGUACUCCGGGGAUAACAGGCUGAUACCGCCCAAGAGUUCAUAUCGACGGCGGUGUUUGGCACCUCGAUGUCGGCUCAUCACAUCCUGGGGCUGAAGUAGGUCCCAAGGGUAUGGCUGUUCGCCAUUUAAAGUGGUACGCGAGCUGGGUUUAGAACGUCGUGAGACAGUUCGGUCCCUAUCUGCCGUGGGCGCUGGAGAACUGAGGGGGGCUGCUCCUAGUACGAGAGGACCGGAGUGGACGCAUCACUGGUGUUCGGGUUGUCAUGCCAAUGGCACUGCCCGGUAGCUAAAUGCGGAAGAGAUAAGUGCUGAAAGCAUCUAAGCACGAAACUUGCCCCGAGAUGAGUUCUCCCUGAGACUUUAAGUCUCCUGAAGGAACGUUGAAGACGACGACGUUGAUAGGCCGGGUGUGUAAGCGCAGCGAUGCGUUGAGCUAACCGGUACUAAUGAACCGUGAGGCUUAACCUU